CUAUCAGAGUGAGUGGGAGGCUGCCACUGAAAGACCCGCGUGGGACAGUAGCUGUGCUGUGAGUGGCCUGAGGAAUAUCAGGUUUCCCAGUCAUUGUAGCCCAAAAUAGGCACUGAAGAAAAAAUUGCACAUUCUGGGUUAACUCAGCACCCAUGAACUCACCUCAUCACCACCACCACCACCACCACCACCCACACACACACACACACACACACACACACACACACACACACACACACACACGGCCCUCCAGCCUAUCAUAACAGCUAAGAUCUAAGACUACUCUUAACUUCUGUGAGGAUUCUUGGGAGCGGUUGAGCCCAUGCAGUAGUUCUGCCCAACAGAAAGGGCUGGGACCUCCAUUCUCACGGAUGAGAGGGGAAGACCCAUUACGCUCCAAGACACUUGAACAGUGAUAGCCAAUACAUAGGAAACCAUGGGGAACCCAGCCUAACAGCCUAACACCUAACAGGUGGCCAUAGGCCACCAUGAGAAUGUGAAGCCCUGAGUCAAUCAAGAACUAGUGAAAAAAGACGCCAGAGACUAGAGCAAUACAAGACCCAGAACCGGCUUCUGGAACAGAAAAUGCUUCCACGAGAUGCAUUCUUCAAGAGUUGGCUUUUAACUAAUUAAGUCACUGAAAACUGCCCCAAGCAGCUAAUGGUGUCUAGCCUGGAACUCACCACUGAGGAAAAAUAACAGCACCUUUGUCCUUAGGAAUGUCAGCUCAAGAAUGUUUGGGAGGGAGGGUUGGAAAUGGUGAAACCUGGUUUUCUGGUUUGUGUGGCCACGUACAGCUGUCUCAUGGUGUAUUAGGAGAAUACUAAUACAUGUACUAGUACAGUGUGUUAGUAGAAAUGCAUCAUGUUUAAAUAUUAUCAAAUACAGUAUUUCACAGACAGUCUUAAGUGUCUAUAUAAAUUAUCUUCCCUCAUGGAAUCUUUGCACGUUCUCGGUUUGCAAAUAUCCUGAUCGUUUCAAGAGUACAGACAUAGGGAAGACUUGGUUGUGUUUUGAAACUCUUUAAAAAUUGUUUUGUUUUGAUGCUGGGAUUGGACCCAGGGCUUCAACAGGCUAAGCAGGCACAGGAGUUCUGCCACUGAACUCUACCCUGUGCCCCUGGUAGCCUACGCUUCUGUGUGUGCUGUUGGCUUACAGUGAAUGUUUCAUGAGGAAGCGUGCUUCUGCCCCAGCCGCUGUCAAGUCGUUUUGUAGUUCCGUCACUGGCAGUGGGGCCUGGGGAUGCAGUGAUGUCAGUUUCCACUCAGGGGAUAGGAUUGAAGAACUUCGCUGCAUUUGUUGAUCUGCAGAUGUUUUAGCUGAUAUUUUACAAAAUUCAAAACGGGACUAUAAGUCCUAUUCACCCUUAUCAUUCAUCCUAGGAAUACCUAACUAUCAUGGGCCAGGCGCUUGUUUACUGAGUAUAGGUAGGAAUAUGACUGUGAAAGAAAACGAAUGCUGGUCCUCACAGGACUUCCUGCUCCUUACCCUUGUCAGUUUCACCCUCUACAUUCAACCAUUAGUGAAUUCCGCUGAUCUUGUUGUCUAAAAUGUCUGCUGAUCAUUACUCCAGAAAGCCACGACCCCAGGCUUAUGACAGUGAGUAUCUAUCACAAAAUGUGACAUUUCUAACACAACAGCUAUGCCCCAAGACCUCAGUGUGGAAGUCUAAGGAAGCCUAAGGAAGGUGAGGAGGCCGAAGAAAGCAUUUAGGAGCCAGAAGACGUGGAGGACUGCAGCAAAACAAUGUCUCGGGGCAUGAAUUGGCAACUAGUAUUGUUUUGAAGGGCCCCUCUAACUUUGACACAGAAAAGCUCAGGAGAAGGUAGACUCACUAUUUUGGAUGAGUGAUAGGAACAUUUCUCUGGGAGUACCAAGACUAGAUUUCAGCAGAAGGCGUCACAGUGUGGAUCCCUGACUGAAGCCGCCCGCCUUCUUGUAAGCAGCCUCACUGAGAAGCCAGUGUAGCUAGAAACUCAACUGCAAAAGCAGUCUCUGAAGCAGAUCCCCCAUCCUCAAUCAAGCGUUCAUCUGAAGAAAGCCUGGCCAUCUUAUCUAAAACGUGGUAAAAGGCCCUGAACCAGGAACACCCAGCUAUGUCCCUCCUGACCUUCCUAACAAAUGUGGGUUGUUUUUAGCUACUAUGUUUCAAGGGAAAUUUGCUACACAGCAGUAGAUGAUAAGCCGUGUUCUCGCCUCUUUAAUGUCAGCGUUGUCUCCCUCUGUCUUCGGUGUCAAAGAUCCUUCAGCUGCGCUAGUCGAUUCGCAACAAGGAAUCUCAUUCCCCUGGAAUGGACUCAUGUCCCCAACCUCCCAGAAACAAGGAGGAAGGGGCUCGUGCAUGUCCUAAGAUGUGUCUAAAGAUUCUCUGAGGGAGCCGAGGCUGUGGAUGGGUAGAAGGGAAAAGGGCUCUCAGAUAUAAAAGAGUCAGGAAGGACAAUCUUACUCUAAGACAGACAGCGCUCAGUAAGCUGAGACAGAGAGCCGUGGGUUGGCAGGCGGCGGGCAGCUCAUUGUUGAGCAAUGAGUUUAGAGAUGAGGUCAUCUUUGGGAUGCUUGUUGUAACAUUGUUAGUUUAAUAAAUAAAACUGCCUUCGACCUAAAACAAACAAACAAACAAAAACCUCCAGCAGGGAACAAGGGCACGGGAUGGAAAACUUGCACUGGGUUGAGGAGGGCAGAGACACUCCAAGACCCUGGCUGUCUGCAUCUGUGAGCCUGGCUCCAAGGUUCUUCCUGCCUUGCUGUGUUGAUCCGGAUCCUAGACUUAACUUCUCACAGACCCCAUUCUUGCCCUGAAAAUAAGGCUUUUCUUAGUUGUCUCAUUCUUGUACCUAGUAAGGGCGCUGAUUAAAGGAGACCACAGGAAGCCCCUAGACCGGAACUUGAAGCAACACGAGAGCCUUAGCAUGUUGAUAGUGUGAGGUCAUGCCCCAUCCGUCCCCAGAAUCUAGAGCCGUCUCUCUCAUACACAGUUUUUCAAUGUUGAAUGCCCUCCAUAUAUGCUCGUGAUUGAACAUUAGUCCCUAGUCAGUGACAGUGUUUGAAAGGUUGUGAAAUUCUUAGGAGAGGGUGUCUGGGUAGAGAAAGUUAGACCAGAAACAAUGCUUGAAGUUUAUAGACAGGCCCACUUCCUGGGCACUUGACUAUGGAUUCUGUAACAGGCUUCCUCACCCUUAGCUUGUCAUGCCUAACCUGCCAUUUUGAACUUGGUCAUAAGCCGAAAUACGCCCCCUUCUGUUGAUUCUUAUCAGGCAUCUGGUUACAGACACAAGAAGUCUAAAGAGUACACUUGUGCUCCACCUUGUGAAUGAUUUCCCAGAGUCAACUGUGACUGCUGGGAAUCCCUUGAUCUCUUUUUACAGUGACUCCUUAAUCCAUAGGCCAUACCUUGUCCAUUUUCCUCUCUCUGGUUUAGUGGAAAGAGACAUCACCCACAAGACUGUGAAGAGACUAGACAUGACUUUUUUCCUCCACAGCCAUUUUCCCCCACGUUAUGGAGCUGUAAGAGUGGGGAAUCAUCAUUUCAAAGUCACUUUAUCAACACCCAUUCCAAAGGCUACAGACACUUUUUAGUAUUUCCCACAAAUUCAGAAUAGAUAUGGAUGAAUAUUUCCCAGGUCUUCGUGAAUUGUCUCUGUGAGCGUGCAGAGGCAGGCAGAAGGCAGAAGGGCCACAGACGCAGCCUCUUGAAACCCAACAGAGAAUGCUUCUGAUGAUGGUAGAGGGGGUUUAGAAGUGCUGUGAAAAAUAGACUAAAAAAAAAAAGGAAUAUUGGAAACAUAGGUUUGUUGGAAGAUAAAGCAAAAUCAUUCUGGAUAAAGGUAAUUUUAAGCAAGAUAUGUGAUCUAUUGCUUCCUGAUUAUCCCAACUCAAACCCUGUGAAUGUUUAAGCCUGGGGAGAAGACUCUACGAUUGAGAGUUAACAGCUGUUACUGGCAAACCCUGUGUGUUUAGCACACGAGAGGGAGGAAGCUGUGUGCUGGCCUGUUAACUGCAUUGACGGUGACAGGGCUACCCAGGGAGGCAUCAGUACAAUGCUAUUGGGACCAUGUGUGUUUGGCCUUUAGCCAUUUAUAGAGAACGCAUUAUCUGUGGGAUUUCAUUUGUGGAAAUGCAACCACUUCCUGGGGCCCCAAAGUCAAAACAAGGAAGUAGGGUGUGUUCUGCGGGGGCGGGGGGCACUCCAGGGACUUGUAAGGAGGUGUAAGGUUUGACUAGUGGAAGCCACCUUGCAGAUGUGAAACCGAACCACUCCCUGAUUCACACUCCAUUCCGGACAGUGUGUAGAUUUUCCUCACCGGGACGGCCCGACUCCGCUGACUGCCAGGCGUGUCCAUGGUCAGCGUUGACUUUCUCCAGCCCUGAGUAUCUUUCUGCUCCUCUCUUCAUCAUGCUUUGGGGGCUGUGGAGCCUUGUGGAUAAUAGUCCCUCUGUAGGAAGGUCCCCUCAUUAAAAAAUGGCUGUCUUGGUCUCUGAAGCUAGUAUAUCUUUGCCGUCACGUGUCUGUCACGUGACGUGGAUUGGUGCACCCCGGUCAUUUAAGCUACUCCUUUCAAACUCACUCUAACCUGUCCACAUUUCUCUUAAAAUACAGUACGGCGAACUGGACGUGGUAUUCCAGGAGGAGUCUGCUGAGCGGAGGGCGGCAGGAGCUGAGAGCCACCUGCUUCUCCCCAAACCGCGAACCUAGCAUCCCUAGUGGCUGAACGUCAUAGAAAUUUUCAUCUCCUUCCAGCCAUCAUGAAACCGGGGUCAAAAUAAAUUCUAAAAUAUUUUAGGAGACUUAAAAGUCAAGAAAACAGAUUAUGGGCUGGAGAGAUGGCUCAACGGUUAAGAGCACUGACUGCUCUUCCAGAGGUCCUGAGUUCAAAUCCCAGCAACCACAUGGUGGCUCACAACCAUCUGUAAUGGAAUCUGAUGCCCUCUUCCUAUGUGUCUGGGAACAGCUACAGUGUACUUAUAUAUAAUAGAUAAAUCUUAAAAAAAAAAAAAGAAAA